UUUCGCCGUGAAAUAUUUUUCGCUCUACCUCCAUGUAUAGUAUAAUAAAGCACAUUUUCGCCCUGAACUAUUAUAACGUUAAAGCACUCGGACGCAAGCGUCCU